rnacentral:rRNA from 1 species
UCGAGCGAGCUUGCCUAGAUGAUUUUAGUGCUUGCACUAAAUGAAACUAGAUACAAGCGAGCGGCGGACGGGUGAGUAACACGUGGGUAACCUGCCCAAGAGACUGGGAUAACACCUGGAAACAGAUGCUAAUACCGGAUAACAACACUAGACGCAUGUCUAGAGUUUGAAAGAUGGUUCUGCUAUCACUCUUGGAUGGACCUGCGGUGCAUUACCUAGUUGGUAAGGUAACGGCUUACCAAGGCGAUGAUGCAUAGCCGAGUUGAGAGACUGAUCGGCCACAUUGGGACUGAGACACGGCCCAAACUCCUGCGGGAGGCAGCAGUGG